AGCAGCCGCCGCGGUAAUACAGAGGGUGCAAGCGUUAAUCGGAAUUACUGGGCGUAAAGCGCGCGUAGGUGGUUUGUUAAGUUGGAUGUGAAAGCCCCGGGCUCAACCUGGGAACUGCAUCCAAAACUGGCAAGCUAGAGUACGGUAGAGGGUGGUGGAAUUUCCUGUGUAGCGGUGAAAUGCGUAGAUAUAGGAAGGAACACCAGUGGCGAAGGCGACCACCUGGACUGAUACUGACACUGAGGUGCGAAAGCGUGGGGAGCAAACAGGAUUAGAUACCCGUGUAGUCCCUGUCUCUUAUAA
rnacentral:rRNA from 1 species